rnacentral:rRNA from 1 species
UACGUAGGGUGCAAGCGUUGUCCGGAAUUAUUGGGCGUAAAGAGCUCGUAGGCGGUCUGUCACGUCGGCUGUGAAAACCCGAGGCUCAACCUCGGGCCUGCAGUCGAUACGGGCAAACUAGAGUACUGCAGGGGAGACUGGAAUUCCUGGUGUAGCGGUGAAAUGCGCAGAUAUCAGGAGGAACACCGGUGGCGAAGGCGGGUCUCUGGGCAGUAACUGACGCUGAGGAGCGAAGGCGUGGGGAGCGAACAGG